rnacentral:lncRNA from 1 species
UAAAACCCUAAGCUAUAAGGUUCUUUCAAUUUCUUUUGGAUCUGCUUCAGUUCUAUGUUUGCUUUGAACUUCUAAAUAUUUUCUCGAAGUCUCUUUUAAGACUCUGCUUCCAAAACUCUUUAUCUUUUAGGGUUUUCUUGUUAAGUUAUUUCAAAGCUUUCUCAAAUUUUUGACAUGUUCUUCUAUAUUUGUUCCCCUCUCUGAGUUUGCAUGAUAAAAACCCUAAUGGCUUCUGCGUUUUUCCUAGUCCAUUUGUAUUUAUUUGUUUGAUUUACCUGCUUAUUAUCUCUAGGCUCGAUUGGUGUUGAAAAUCCUAAUUUUUGGGGUUUAUUCGAGUUCCUGGGACUACUUAUUUGUUUGAAUUACUUGUUCAUCAUCUCUAGACUCGAUUGGUUUCAAAAACCCUAAUUUCUUUGGGUUUAUUCGAGUUUUUGAAAAUGCUUGUGCAACUCAUCUGUUUAAAGUUACUCGACCUGAUUUGAAAUACUUUUGUUUCAGCAUCUGUUUCUUUAUAUGAUGCUUGUUUCUUGCUAUCAUUGAAAGUGGACAACUUUUUCAAAAGGGUCUUUUACUUGACCCUUUGCGUGCUCCUGAUACUCUCCCUUCUCUACUAAGUCAAUAAAGUUGACCUAUGUGACUAUCUGUUUCGAUGGUUCGCUAUCUAUUGACUUUGUGGUUGUUAUUGCAUGUUGCUUCUCUUUGCCAUAGUUUGGCCUCACAUGUCUAAUGUUUAUACACUCUAUUUUUAUGCUUAAUUUCCCUCUUGAAUGAUCUUCAAUUUUGGACUGAUUUCAAACCUUCUUUUGUGGAAUUCUGAUUGCCCUCGUCUGUUAAGUUUGAUUGAUUCUUUUCAUUGUUUUGCCUUACUGAAUCCCUUCCCAAAAUUAGUACAUUUUUGUACUUAGACAUAAUUACUCACUCAAUUGUUUUACUACUUCUUUCAUUGCAAUAACCAAUAUGCCUAUAAAUUGAUUUCUUUCCUUAUUUUUGAGUCUGUCACUGCCCGUUAAGAAGGUGAUCCCUUAAUUAAAGGCAAUCAUGUGUGUAAUUGAUUAUGAAUAGUGAUUGUUUCCAUGUUUGUGGCUUAUUACUUCUCUUUUACUUGUUUUCAAAAGCUAUAAAUGCCUUGUACUUCUCUUCUUUCAAAGACACGAACACUCCUAGUUCUGAACUCGCACUUUCACUCAAAAAACUCUCUUUUGCUUUACUACUACUUGUUCUACUGCCUGUUUAGCAGGCUGAAAUCCAAGGCUAUACUUCGAAGUCCCGCUUACUUUUCUUUACUGCACUUUGCUUUUCUGACUAGUAUGUUCUAAUUAAGUUUUCAGCAUCAACAACAACAUGUUUUUCACUGUUUCUUUCUUCUUGUUUGUCUCCUGUUGUAUCUAACUAAAUUCCAUUAUUAAGCAUGCUGCAUUUUGCGUCCCUUGUUUUGAAUUAAUAUUUUUUUUAUCAUGGCUUGUACAUCUUAAAUCCCCAUCCCUAAUGUGUUUUUUAACUGUGACUGGUGUGGGGCAUGGCUUCAUUAAACAUUGUUGACCAUGACUCAAACUUGAUCCCCCUGGGAUCAUAACCUUAAUGUUUCCUCUGUUUGUUGUAUGUUCUGAUUGGCUUAUAGGCGUGCCAACAUCUUCUAUUGCUAUGCAUUCCUAAAGCUGGCUGUGCCCAAGUACUCAGUCUCUUUGCAAUGAAUCCCCAACCCUUGACCCCUUGUAUGAAUUUACCAACUUUGUAAUUUACUGAUUACUAUUUUCCUACCACCCUUUAUGCCUCUCCUAUACUCCCCUCAUAUGUAAAACCCCUAUUCCUGCACUUCCA